UACGGGGGGAGCAAGCGUUGUUCGGAUUUACUGGGCGUAAAGGGCGCGUAGGCGGUCAGCACAAGUCAGUUGUGAAAUCUCCGGGCUUAACUCGGAAAGGUCAACUGAUACUGUGCGACUAGAGUGCAGAAGGGGCAACUGGAAUUCUCGGUGUAGCGGUGAAAUGCGUAGAUAUCGGAAGGAACGCCGGUGGCGAAAGCGAGCUGCUGGAUCCCUCCUGACGCUGAGGCGCGAAAGCCAGGGUAGCGAACGGG
rnacentral:rRNA from 1 species